GAUGAACGCUGGCGGCGUGCCUAAUACAUGCAAGUCGAGCGAACAGACGAGGAGCUUGCUCCUCUGACGUUAGCGGCGGACGGGUGAGUAACACGUGGAUAACCUACCUAUAAGACUUGGAUAACUUCGGGAAACCGGAGCUAAUACCGGAUAAUAUAUUGAACCGCAUGGUUCAAUAGUUCAAGACGGUUUUGCUGUCACUUAUAGAUGGAUCCGCGCCGCAUUAGCUAGUUGGUAAGGUAACGGCUUACCAAGGCAACGAUGCGUAGCCGACCUGAGAGGAUGAUCGGCCACACUGGAACUGAGACACGGUCCAGACUCCUACGGGAGGCAGCAGUAGGGAAUCUUCCGCAAUGGGCGAAAGCCUGACGGAGCAACGCCGCGUGAGUGAUGAAGGUCUUCGGAUCGUAAAACUCUGUUAUUAGGGAAGAACAAAUGUGUAAGUAACUAUGCACGUCUUGACGGUACCUAAUCAGAAAGCCACGGCUAACUACGUG
rnacentral:rRNA from 1 species